rnacentral:rRNA from 1 species
CCUACGGGAGGCAGCAGUGGGGAAUAUUGGACAAUGGGCGCAACCCUGAUGCAGCGACGCCGCGUGAGGGAAGAAGGCUUUCGGGAUGUAAAGCUCUAUUAGCAGGGACGAAAAAAGACGUUACCUGACUGAGAUGCACCGGCUAACUACGUGCCAGCAGCCGCGGUAAUACGUAGGGGGCGAGCGUUAUCCGGAUUUACUGGGGGUAAAGGGAGCGUAGACGGGGCGGCAAGUCUGAAGUGAAAGGCAGGGGCUUAACCCCUGAACUGCAUUUGAACCUGCCAUGCUAGAGUGCUGGAGAGGUAAGUGGAAUUCCUAGUGUAGCGGUGAAAUGCGUAGAUAUUAGGAGGAACACCAGUGGCGAAGGCGGCUUACUGGACAGUAACUGACGUUGAGGCUCGAAAGCGUGGGGAGCAAACAGGAUUAGAUACCCGGGUAGUC